UACGUAGGUGGCAAGCGUUGUCCGGAUUUACUGGGCGUAAAGAGCGCGCAGGCGGUUGAUUAAGUCGAAUGUGAAAGCCCCCGGCUCAACUGGGGAGGGUCACGCGAUACUGAUCGACUGGAAGGCAGGAGAGGGUAGUGGAAUUCCCGGUGUAGUGGUGAAAUGCGUAGAUAUCGGGAGGAACACCAGUGGCGAAGGCGACUACCUGGCCUGUUCUUGACGCUGAGGCGCGAAAGCUAGGGGAGCAAACGGG
rnacentral:rRNA from 1 species